rnacentral:rRNA from 1 species
CACGUAGGCGGUUUGUUAAGUCGGAUGUGAAAGCCCCGGGCUCAACCUGGGAAUUGCAUUCGAUACUGGCAAACUAGAGUAUAGAAGAGGCAAGUGGAAUUCCGGGUGUAGCGGUGAAAUGCGUAGAUAUCCGGAGGAACAUCAGUGGCGAAGGCGACUUGCUGGUCUAAUACUGACGCUGAGGUGCGAAAGCGUGGGGAGCAAACG